AGACCCGAAACCCGGUGAUCUAGCCAUGGGCAGGUUGAAGGUUGGGUAACACUAACUGGAGGACCGAACCGACUAAUGUUGAAAAAUUAGCGGAUGACUUGUGGCUGGGGGUGAAAGGCCAAUCAAACCGGGAGAUAGCUGGUUCUCCCCGAAAGCUAUUUAGGUAGCGCCUCGUGAAUUCAUCUCCGGGGGUAGAGCACUGUUUCGGCAAGGGGGUCAUCCCGACUUACCAACCCGAUGCAAACUGCGAAUACCGGAGAAUGUUAUCACGGGAGACACACGGCGGGUGCUAACGUCCGUCGUGAAGAGGGAAACAACCCAGACCGCCAGCUAAGGUCCCAAAGUCAUGGUUAAGUGGGAAACGAUGUGGGAAGGCCCAGACAGCCAGGAUGUUGGCUUAGAAGCAGCCAUCAUUUAAAGAAAGCGUAAUAGCUCACUGGUCGAGUCGGCCUGCGCGGAAGAUGUAACGGGGCUAAACCAUGCACCGAAGCUGCGGCAGCGACACUGUGUGUUGUUGGGUAGGGGAGCGUUCUGUAAGCCUGUGAAGGUGUGCUGUGAGGUAUGCUGGAGGUAUCAGAAGUGCGAAUGCUGACAUAAGUAACGAUAAAGCGGGUGAAAAGCCCGCUCGCCGGAAGACCAAGGGUUCCUGUCCAACGUUAAUCGGGGCAGGGUGAGUCGACCCCUAAGGCGAGGCCGAAAGGCGUAGUCGAUGGGAAACAGGUUAAUAUUCCUGUACUUGGUGUUACUGCGAAGGGGGGACGGAGAAGGCUAUGUUGGCCGGGCGACGGUUGUCCCGGUUUAAGCGUGUAGGCUGGUUUUCCAGGCAAAUCCGGAAAAUCAAGGCUGAGGCGUGAUGACGAGGCACUACGGUGCUGAAGCAACAAAUGCCCUGCUUCCAGGAAAAGCCUCUAAGCAUCAGGUAACAUCAAAUCGUACCCCAAACCGACACAGGUGGUCAGGUAGAGAAUACCAAGGCGCUUGAGAGAACUCGGGUGAAGGAACUAGGCAAAAUGGUGCCGUAACUUCGGGAGAAGGCACGCUGAUAUGUAGGUGAAGUCCCUCGCGGAUGGAGCUGAAAUCAGUCGAAGAUACCAGCUGGCUGCAACUGUUUAUUAAAAACACAGCACUGUGCAAACACGAAAGUGGACGUAUACGGUGUGACGCCUGCCCGGUGC
rnacentral:rRNA from 1 species